GACUGACUCCACGAAGACUUCUUGCUUCUCUUUCGUCUCUCUUCUAUAGUUGCUUGCUUUUUCAGGAGAUGCCCAUUGCCUUCUGCCUACUCUUAAUUCUAUUUUCCGGCUUCCCUCGAAGUUUCGUAUAGGCAGUCUUCCACACCCUGCCUACGUACAAGUAGGGAGCGUUUGCGGAUACUGGUCAGGGGAAGUUUCGUGGUUGGGAAUAGGAUGGCUUGGAAGGCUCUUCCCAUUCUCUCCAUGCUCCUACUACUUUCAAGCACUUCCGUCGUCACCCUAGCCCUCAAUACCAGCGUUCUAGCAAGCCCACCUUCGCCACCACCCGAGAUGGGAGGACCCGACGUGAAUCUUCCCUGUGAAAUAGAGCGCAUCAAGGGUCAUCCAUGCCCUGUGCACCAGAGUCCGGGACACCAUGAGCUUAACCUGCCUCCCCCACCCACUGUUCGCCAAUUGGCUUGUCGCAGAGCCCCUUAUUGUCGUGGUUAAGCAUAAGAUGCAACACUUAGAAGAAGCUCCUUCUUUUCCUCUCUUUUUUUUUUUUUAGUGUGAAUAGGAGGUAGCAGGAAGCUAUCCCUACUUUAUUUAAUGAACAAAGAAUAUAGAGUGCUCUGCAACAGAAGAAGCUGCUUUCUUCCUUCAAUAAAACAGUGACCCAGCGUAUUUCCUAUUCAUUAUCAUGCAAA